GUAUAAGUACAAAUCAAGAUGAGUGCCCUAAAGAAAAAAAGUGUGGUCACAGGAACUCCUCUGUGGUGCGUCAGUCAAGUGGCACACCUGCCAGACCUUUAAACUGUGGUCUCUGGAGAUCAAAGUCACCUCACCGUCUCAUUAACCUUCACUUGGCAUCCUUAAAGGAGAUUACGAGCCCUGUGUUUGUAGUGAGACUUCGCUAGGACAGAUAGAGUACACUGUCCUGGGAGCCCUGCCUCCCCACCGUGGUCACAACUUGCAGCAAGGAACUAAUCUGGUUGACAUCUCUCACUUUAUGAGAGUUGUGGUAAGGAUUCUAUUUACUAUAUGUUACAAUGCAAUAUCAUAC
rnacentral:lncRNA from 1 species